rnacentral:snoRNA from 1 species
GAUCUGUAGUCUUGGAGCCGCCCUGGGUUGGUGGUACCCUAGAGCACACCAGACUUGCAGAAAAAGCAUACUCCAGAGGAAGCUGAGGCAUGACUGCUCAAGAGCCAGCCGUUCUAUGUGCAAUUUUCCUCUGAUAGUUCCUGGGUGCUGUUGCCACGGUGAUAAUGACCGCGCCGUGUCAUUAUCUAUCGACCGACAGCAAGAGAAGCCUUGCAGUCGAGAUAUUGUUUAACAGACAGAGUGGUUUCUGUUGGACACUGAGUACUGCUACAUUU